GGUCAAGAAGAGAAGCGCAAACGGUGGAUGCCUUGGCAGUAAGAGGCGAAGAAGGACGUGGAAUCCUGCGAAAAGCUAUGGGGAGCUGGAAACGAGCGUUGAGCCAUAGAUGUCCGAAUGGGGGAACCCGGCUGCAGCGAUGCGGUCAUUUGCAUUUGAAUACAUAGGAUGCAAAGGCGAACUCGGGGAACUGAAACAUCUAAGUACCCGAAGGAAAAGAAAUCAAGAGAGAUUCUCCAAGUAGCGGCGAGCGAACGGGGAGGAGCCUGGCGUGAUUUAUUAUUGAACUGAGUAGAACAAUUUGGGAAAGUUGGCCGAAGAGGGUGAAAGCCCCGUAUACGAAGGUUUGAUGAGGAACUAGGCACGCGAACAAGUAGG
rnacentral:rRNA from 1 species